GUGUGGGUGCUGGCGAGGCCGUUGUGGGCGCACAAUCCUUGCCAUUCAGCGCGAUCGGCUGCUGGGGCUGUGGGAAACGCAUCGCUCCACCAGAAGCAUUUCCUGGAUGCGCUUGCCCGCUUUCUUUCGCUGGGUGAUUGGCACGCAGCGCAAAUUAAUACUCCUCUGUCUCUCUGGCAUUACUGCAGAUUGGUAUGUAUAAGUUCAUUGUUUAAAGAUGUUGAUGGUAAUUGUAUGUAUUCGGGCACUAAAUAAUGUGUGCUAUUCUCGUAAAGGCCGUGAUAAAUUGUUGGCCCGUAUUCAGCCACUGUGCCCUGGAUCUGCGCUGCUGUUUUGGCUCCGUUUAAUUUAUGGAUGCUCCGGACUCGCUGUCAGGACUCGCAGUCGGGACUUCGAUUCCUGUGAUCUAUUAAUAGAUACGUCCUGCCCUGAGCAACCGUGAAUGGGGAUGAGACUGACAGUGUUAAGGGGCAUCAAUUAUUGAAAUGUGCUUUAUAUAGUUUAUUAUUUUGUAUCAUUUUGUGUUUGUUUGUAUUUUUGGUAUUCUUAAUUAUUUUGGUUUUCUCCAUACCAGUCCUGUGUAGAACCUUUGGCAUGUUUUAACGUGUUUCUUGUUUUUGGUUAGGUGCUGUGGCCCAGAGGCGGCAGUCUCGUCCUUGGUGGUGGUCCCCUUCACGAUUUCCUUUUGCUUUAAUGUGUGAGUGCAGUGUUACGGGUGUUUUAAGUAACGGACCCUUCCACUUUUGAUUUGUCCCUGCCGUCUGGUAAGCUCCAGCCCCUUUCCCUUGAUUUUUAUUCUUGCUUGGUGCU